rnacentral:rRNA from 1 species
CACCUUGCGCUCCUUGGUAUUCCGAGGAGCAUGCCUGUUUGAGUGUCAUU